rnacentral:rRNA from 1 species
AGUGAACGCUGGCGGUAGGCCUAACACAUGCAAGUCGAACGGCAGCACAGUGAGAGCUUGCUCUUACGGGUGGCGAGUGGCGGACGGGUGAGGAAUACAUCGGAAUCUACUUUUUCGUGGGGGAUAACGUAGGGAAACUUACGCUAAUACCGCAUACGACCUACGGGUGAAAGCAGGGGAUCUUCGGACCUUGCGCGAUUGAAUGAGCCGAUGUCGGAUUAGCUAGUUGGCGGGGUAAAGGCCCACCAAGGCGACGAUCCGUAGCUGGUCUGAGAGGAUGAUCAGCCACACUGGAACUGAGACACGGUCCAGACUCCUACGGGAGGCAGCAGUGGGGAAUAUUGAACAAUGGGCGCAAGCCUGAUCCGGCCAUACCGCGUGGGUGAAGAAGGCCUUCGGGUUGUAAAGCCCUUUUGUUGGGAAAGAAAAGCAGCAGGUUAAUACCCCGCUGUUCUGACGGUACCCAAAGAAUAAGCACCGGCUAACUUCGUG